GUGGCCUAGUGGUUAGAGCGUCGUCCUUGAAUGUGGGAGGUCGUGGGUUCGAUCCCUGGUCAAGUCA